rnacentral:rRNA from 1 species
GACGAACGCUGGCGGCGUGCUUAACACAUGCAAGUCGAACGGAAAGGCCCUGCUUUUGUGGGGUGCUCGAGUGGCGAACGGGUGAGUAACACGUGAGUAACCUGCCCUUGACUUUGGGAUAACUUCAGGAAACUGGGGCUAAUACCGGAUAGGAGCUCCUGCUGCAUGGUGGGGGUUGGAAAGUUUCGGCGGUUGGGGAUGGACUCGCGGCUUAUCAGCUUGUUGGUGGGGUAGUGGCUUACCAAGGCUUUGACGGGUAGCCGGCCUGAGAGGGUGACCGGCCACAUUGGGACUGAGAUACGGCCCAGACUCCUACGGGAGGCAGCAGUGGGGAAUAUUGCACAAUGGGCGGAAGCCUGAUGCAGCAACGCCGCGUGCGGGAUGACAGCCUUCGGGUUGUAAACCGCUUUCGCCUGUGACGAAGCGUGAGUGACGGUAAUGGGUAAAGAAGCACCGGCUAACUACGUGCCAGCAGCCGCGGUGAUACGUAGGGCGCGAGCGUUGUCCGGAUUUAUUGGGCGUAAAGGGCUCGUAGGUGGUUGAUCGCGUCGGAAGUGUAAUCUUGGGGCUUAACCCUGAGCGUGCUUUCGAUACGGGUUGACUUGAGGAAGGUAGGGGAGAAUGGAAUUCCUGGUGGAGCGGUGGAAUGCGCAGAUAUCAGGAGGAACACCAGUGGCGAAGGCGGUUCUCUGGGCCUUUCCUGACGCUGAGGAGCGAAAGCGUGGGGAGCGAACAGGCUUAGAUACCCUGGUAGUCCACGCUGUAAACGGUGGGUACUAGGUGUGGGGUCCAUUCCACGGGUUCCGUGCCGUAGCUAACGCUUUAAGUACCCCGCCUGGGGAGUACGGCCGCAAGGCUAAAACUCAAAGGAAUUGACGGGGCCCCGCACAAGCGGCGGAGCAUGCGGAUUAAUUCGAUGCAACGCGUAGAACCUUACCUGGGUUUGACAUGGAUCGGGAGUGCUCAGAGAUGGGUGUGCCUCUUUUGGGGUCGGUUCACAGGUGGUGCAUGGCUGUCGUCAGCUCGUGUCGUGAGAUGUUGGGUUAAGUCCCGCAACGAGCGCAACCCUUGUUCACUGUUGCCAGCACGUUAUGGUGGGGACUCAGUGGAGACCGCCGGGGUCAACUCGGAGGAAGGUGGGGAUGACGUCAAGUCAUCAUGCCCCUUAUGUCCAGGGCUUCACGCAUGCUACAAUGGCUGGUACAGAGAGUGGCGAGCCUGUGAGGGUGAGCGAAUCUCGGAAAGCCGGUCUCAGUUCGGAUUGGGGUCUGCAACUCGACCUCAUGAAGUCGGAGUCGCUAGUAAUCGCAGAUCAGCAACGCUGCGGUGAAUACGUUCCCGGGGCU